UAGAGUGACUUACCAAUUGCUAGAUUUUUUUUUUAACUCUCUAAUUCCUCUGGGACUUUAUUUGCUUCCCGACUUUGGAGACUCUAGCCAGCACUUCGGUAACACUUCCCGUCAUUCUGCAGCAACUGUGACAGCUAGAAAGUGGCUUCAUCCUAAAAGGGAAGCGGAGCGCUUGAGCGACCAAGAGCCCUGCAAGCCCCAGGGGCGAGAGGACGCACGUGCGAGAGCAGCCCCGGCCACCGGCCGCGACGCCGGCAGGCAGGAGGGGAGCGGAGCCCUGCGCCCCUCGUCUCGCCCGCCGCCCCCCUCCUCCUCCCGGGGCAUCCCGGCCGGAAUCAGCCUGCAAACAGCGUCGGGAAAGGAUCCGAUUUUAUCCGCCUCUGCGAGCAUCCAGCGUGAUCUGGGAUGCUGAAAUGACAGACAAACAAAUAGCCGUUGUGUAAGGGUGUAUUUCAGGCGUUUCUAGUCGGAAACGAAGCACGAAUCUCGCUCUAUUUUAAUCCUGCCCAGGGUCUUCUCGGAGCGGGGCCGAGGCCGGCGCUGCGGAGUUAAGAAUGAAAGCCUAUUUUUAGCGGGUGCCGCGGUGAGGUCAAUAUUGAUGUGGUCAUGCCAACAGUAGUUUUGUCGUCCUCUUCAUGCUGUGCUCCYUGGUGGGUGAACCCUGGCACUAAUGCAGUCUGUCCUCUUCUGAACCCAGGAAACCUGGCUGCGCGAGCGUGGUUCCCAAGCUCUUCACGCAGGUUACCAGCCUCGGCUUAUAGCUUCUCCAAGCAGACAUUCGGAAAGCGGCGGUGGGCCCCAGAAGUGGGGCGGCGGAGCCGGAGGCCGGGGUGCGGCAGGUUUCCCGUGUCAGAUUUAUGA
rnacentral:lncRNA from 1 species